AACUUUCGGCAACGGAUCUCUUGGUUCUGGCAUCGAUGAAGAACGCAGCGAAAUGCGAUAAGUAAUGUGAAUUGCAGAAUUCAGUGAUCAUCGAAUCUUUGAACGCACAUUGCGCCCCUUGGUAUUCCGAGGGGCAUGCCUGUUCGAGCGUCAUUACAACCCUCAAGCAAUGCUUGGUGUUGGGCCGCGCCGCUAACCCGGCGGGCCCUAAAACCAGUGGCGGUGCCGUCGGGCUCUGAGCGUAGUAAUUCUUCUCGCUAUAGAGCCCCGGCGGAUGCUAGCCAGCAACCCCUAAUUUUCUAUGGUUGACCUCGGAUCAGGUAGGGAUACCCGCUGAACUUAAGCAUAUCAAUAAGCGGAGGCU
rnacentral:misc_RNA from 1 species